rnacentral:rRNA from 1 species
AUUGAACGCUGGCGGCAUGCCUUACACAUGCCAGUCGAACGGUAACAGGUCUUCGGACGCUGACGAGUGGCGAACGGGUGAGUAAUACAUCGGAACGUGCCCGAUCGUGGGGGAUAACGAGGCGAAAGCUUUGCUAAUACCGCAUACGAUCUACGGAUGAAAGCGGGGGAUCUUCGGACCUCGCGCGGACGGAGCGGCCGAUGGCAGAUUAGGUAGUUGGUGGGAUAAAAGCUUACCAAGCCGACGAUCUGUAGCUGGUCUGAGAGGAUGAUCAGCCACACUGGGACUGAGACACGGCCCAGACUCCUACGGGAGGCAGCAGUGGGGAAUUUUGGACAAUGGGCGAAAGCCUGAUCCAGCCAUGCCGCGUGCAGGAUGAAGGCCUUCGGGUUGUAAACUGCUUUUGUACGGAACGAAAAGCCUCUUUCUAAUAAAGAGGGGUCAUGACGGUACCGUAAGAAUAAGCACCGGCUAACUACGUG